CGAGCAAUCUGCCCUUCACAUCGGAAUAACCAUUGGAAACGAUGGCUAAUACCGAAUAUGACUUCGGAUCGCAUGAUCUGAAGUGGAAAGCUCCGGCGGUGAAGGAUGAGCUCGCGGCCUAUCAGCUUGUUGGUGAGGUAAUAGCUCACCAAGGCGAUGACGGGUAGCCGGCCUGAGGAGGGUGACCGGCCACACUGGGACUGAGACACCGGCAGA
rnacentral:rRNA from 1 species